rnacentral:rRNA from 1 species
GCGAAAACUUUACAAUGCGAGCAAUCGUGAUAAGGGAACUCCGAGUGCCUGUAAAAUCAGGCUGUCCGCCAGUGUAAAUAACUGGUGAAGAAAGGGCCGGGCAAGACCGGUGCCAGCCGCCGCGGUAAUACCGGCGGCUCGAGUGGUGGCCACUAUUACUGGGCUUAAAGCGUCCGUAGCUGGUCUGUUAAGUCUCUGGGGAAAUCUUCCGGCUCAACCGGAAGGCGGCUCAGGGAUACUGGCAGACUAGGGACCGGGAGAGGUGAGAGGUACUCCAGGGGUAGGAGUGAAAUCCUGUAAUCCUUGGGGGACCACCUGUGGCGAAGGCGUCUCACCAGAACGGCUCCGACAGUGAGGGACGAAAGCUGGGGGAGCAAACG